GAUGCCUAACAUUUAACAAGUCGAACGAAGGCUUCGGCCUUAGUGGCGCACGGGUGCGGAUGGGAAUCUGCCCUCAGGUUCGGAAUAACUUCGGGAAACUGAAGCUAAUACCGGAUGAUAUCAGCAAGAUCAAAGAUUUAUCGCCUGAGGAUGAGCCCGCGUAGGAUUAGCUAGUUGGUGUGGUAAAGGCGCACCAAGUGCGACGAUCCUUAGCUGGUCUGAGAGGAUGAUCAGACACACUGGGACUGAGACACGGCCCAGACUCCUACGGGAGGCAGCAGUGGGGAAUAUUGGACAAUGGGCGAAAGCCUGAUCCAGCAAUGCCGCGUGAGUGAUGAAGGCCUUAGGGUUGUAAAGCUCUUUAACCCGGGAUGAUAAUGACAGUACAGCGAAUAACUCGGAUAAUCGUGCAGCAGCCCAGUAAUCGGAAGGAG
rnacentral:rRNA from 1 species